rnacentral:rRNA from 1 species
GACGAACGCUGGCGGCGUGCUUAACACAUGCAAGUCGAACGGGUCUGCCCUGUUUUUUGCGGGGUGGGUCAGUGGCGAACGGGUGAGUAACACGUGAGUAACCUGCCCCUCACUUCUGGAUAACCGCUUGAAAGGGUGGCUAAUACGGGGUGUUCUGGCUGUGCCGCACGGUGUGGCUGGGAAAGAUUCACUUUUGUGGUGUUUUGGUGGGGGAUGGGCUCGCGGCCUAUCAGCUUGUUGGUGGGGUGAUGGCCUGCCAAGGCUUUGACGGGUAGCCGGCCGGAGAGGGUGGGCGGUCACACUGGGACUGAGAUACGGCCCAGACUCCUGCGGGAGGCAGCAGUGGGGGGUAGUGCACAAUGGGCGGAAGCCUGAUGCAGCGACGUCGCGUGAGGGAUGGAGGCCUUCGGGUUGUGAACCUCUUUCGCCGGUGAAGAAGGUCCUGCUCUUUGUGGUGGGGUUGACGGUAGCCGGGUUAUGAAGCGCCGGCUAACUACGUG